GAGAAAUAUGCUAGAACAAGGGAUUCAGAAAGAGAAUGCAAAGAGGUUAUGAGAGAAGAACAUCAAAUAAUAAUUUUUCAAUUGCUGCUAGGAUAACCAGAGGCAAGUUACAAUCCGAGUAGGGUGGAUUGGUGACUUGUCCUGAAUUUGAGCAGGGUGGAUUCGGGGUUCGAGAUGGGAGAACUCGGUUCCUGAGUGAACCAAUUGUUGAUGAUACGGUACCACAUGCAUAUGAGUCUAGUUGACGUUAUGAGUCUCAUUGUAUAAGUUUAAAUGAUUAAUGUGUGAAUACAAUGUGUAUGAUGAUGAGUUGGAUGUGAGAAUGUUUUUGUGUGUUUGAUGGAAUAUACAUGUAGAUGUUUGUGAUUUUA